GGAAAACAAAGCCCUAUUUUGCUUACUUGCUAGCUCCUCCUCCUACGUCCAGCCGACAAAGCGAGUUGGGAUUCCGGGAAUUCGCAAUUGGGUUUCGAACUUAACGGAUUUCCGACCAAAGCAUCGGAAGAAAAAAUGACUGAUUAUGAAGAAGCGCGGUAUCAAGGAAACGGAGAUAACAUCGAAAACAGUCAUGGCGGAGGUUCUUCUCCUAAGUCUCGUUCUGAUAAUCAGAACGAUUUUAAUCAUCAGUAUGGGUCCCAGGAUUUUGAGAGAGAGUCCUCUAGAAGCAGGGAAAAGCAGAGAGAAAGAGUGCUUGACAAGGACCGUGAUCGUCAUAGGGACAAGGAUAGGGAUAGGGACCGAGAAAAGGAUCGCGAUCGUGAACGCCAUCACAGAGAACGUCAUAGGGAUCGUAGUAGGGAACACAGUGAUAGAAGGGAUCGAGGAAGAGAUAGGGAUGAUGAUGAUUAUUACCGCAGUCGAGAUUAUGACAGAAGAAGGGACUAUGAUAGAGACAGGGAGGAUAGGCAUAGGCGCCGGUCCGGAUCCCACUCAAGGAGUAGAUCUGUGCACAGAUCAAAGUCAAGAUCUCGUUCUUGCUCACGCUCACGCUCAAAGAGCAAAAGGAUUAGUGGUUUUGACAUGGCCCCUCCAGCUUCAGCAAUGUUAGCUGCUGGUGCUGUGACAGCUGCUGCUGCAGGCCAGGUUCCUGUGACUACUAACCCAACCUUACCUGGCGUGUUUCUGAACAUGUUUCCUCUUACAACCGGACAGCCAUUUGGCGCUCUCCCUGUUAUGCCAGUUCAGGCAAUGACUCAGCAGGCAACUAGGCAUGCACGUCGGGUCUAUGUUGGAGGGCUUUCUCCUACUGCUAAUGAACAGUCAGUUGCAACUUUUUUCAGCCAUGUCAUGGCUGCAAUUGGUGGAAACACUGCCGGUCCAGGGGAUGCUGUUGUUAAUGUGUACAUAAACCACGAAAAGAAGUUUGCUUUUGUAGAGAUGAGAUCUGUUGAGGAGGCUAGUAAUGCAAUGGCUUUAGAUGGGAUUAUCUUUGAGGGAGCUCCAGUGAAGGUGAGAAGGCCUAGUGAUUAUAAUCCGUCGCUUGCUGCAACUCUUGGUCCAAGCCAGCCGAAUCCCAAUCUUAAUCUAGCUGCUGUGGGUCUAACUCCGGGUUCUGCUGGUGGGCUUGAGGGCCCUGACCGAAUAUUUGUUGGUGGACUUCCCUAUUACUUCACAGAAGCACAGAUCAGGGAGCUUUUGGAAUCUUUUGGGCCUCUUAGAGGCUUUGAUCUAGUAAAAGAUAGAGAAACCGGAAACUCUAAAGGCUAUGCAUUUUGUGUUUAUCAAGAUCUAUCAGUUACAGAUAUAGCUUGUGCUGCUCUAAAUGGAAUUAAAAUGGGUGAUAAAACUCUCACUGUUAGGCGAGCAAACCAGGGUGCCACCCAGCCUAAACCCGAGCAAGAAAGUAUACUCCAGCAUGCACAGCAGCAAAUUGCUUUGCAGAGGCUUAUUUUGCAACCACAAGGCAUGCCAACAAAGGUUGUGUGUUUGACUCAAGCACUUAAUGUCGACGAUCUCAGAGAUGAUGAUGAGUACGGAGACAUUGUGGAUGAUAUGAGACAAGAGGGUGGAAAAUAUGCACAUUCUUGUUCUUCAUUCUGCUAUAAAGAAUCAAGCCUAACAUACUCAGACAGAAGACUUGCUAACCCUCUACCUAUAUAUAUUUGAUACUGCUUUCUCUAAUUUUAUUAUUUGGAAGAAACUCGUCUUUUUUUCUCCUCUGUGGAAUCGAAAUGUUUACACGAAAUAUGCAGGUGCAUUGGUGAAUGUUGUCAUUCCACGCCCAAAUCCGCAUGGAGAACCCUCUCCGGGUGUCGGGAAGGUAUUUCUGGAGUACUCAGAUGUUGAAGGUUC